rnacentral:rRNA from 1 species
GCAAGCGGACCUCAUAAAGUGCGUCGUAGUCCGGAUUGGAGUCUGCAACUCGACUCCAUGAAGUCGGAAUCGCUAGUAAUCGUGGAUCAGAAUGCCACGGUGAAUACGUUCCCGGGCCUUGUACACACCGCCCGUCACACCAUGGGAGUGGGUUGCAAAAGAAGUAGGUAGCUUAACCUUCGGGAGGGCGCUUACCACUUUGUGAUUCAUGACUGGGGUGAAGUCGUAACAAGGUAACCGUAGGGGAACCUGCGGUUGGAUCACCUCCUUACCUUAAAGAA